GGAUCACCUACGGGAGGCAGCAGUGGGGAAUCUUAGACAAUGGGCGCAAGCCUGAUCUAGCCAUGCCGCGUGAGUGACGAAGGCCUUAGGGUCGUAAAGCUCUUUCGCCAGGGAUGAUAAUGACAGUACCUGGUAAAGAAACCCCGGCUAACUCCGUGCCAGCAGCCGCGGUAAUACGGAGGGGGUUAGCGUUGUUCGGAAUUACUGGGCGUAAAGCGCGCGUAGGCGGAUUGGAAAGUUGGGGGUGAAAUCCCAGGGCUCAACCCUGGAACUGCCUCCAAAACUAUCAGUCUAGAGUUCGAGAGAGGUGAGUGGAAUUCCGAGUGUAGAGGUGAAAUUCGUAGAUAUUCGGAGGAACACCAGUGGCGAAGGCGGCUCACUGGCUCGAUACUGACGCUGAGGUGCGAAAGUGUGGGGAGCAAACAGGAUUAGAUACCCUGGUAGUCCACACCGUAAACGAUGAAUGCCAGACGUCAGGGGGUUUUACCCUUUGGUGUCACACCUAACGGAUUAAGCAUUCCGCCUGGGGAGUACGGUCGCAAGAUUAAAACUCAAAGGAAUUGACGG
rnacentral:rRNA from 1 species